rnacentral:rRNA from 1 species
UACGUAUGGAGCAAGCGUUAUCCGGAUUUACUGGGUGUAAAGGGAGCGCAGGCGGCUUUGCAAGUCUGAUGCGAAAGGCCGGGGCUCAACCCCGGGACUGCAUUGGAAACUGUAAAGCUAGAGUGCCGGAGAGGUAAGCGGAAUUCCUAGUGUAGCGGUGAAAUGCGUAGAUAUUAGGAGGAACACCAGUGGCGAAGGCGGCUUACUGGACGGCAACUGACGCUGAGGCUCGAAAGCGUGGGGAGCAAACAGG